GACGAACGCUGGCGGCGUGCUUAACACAUGCAAGUCGAACGAUGAAGCCGGAGCUUGCUCUGGUGAAUUAGUGGCGAACGGGUGAGUAACACGUGAGUAACCUGCCCUUGACUCUGGGAUAACUGCUAGAAAUGGUAGCUAAUACCGGAUACGACCCUCGGAGGCAUCUCCAGGGGGUGGAAAGAAUUUCGGUCAAGGAUGGACUCGCGGCCUAUCAGCUAGUUGGUGAGGUAACGGCUCACCAAGGCGACGACGGGUAGCCGGCCUGAGAGGGUGACCGGCCACACUGGGAAUGAGACACGGCCCAGACUCCUACGGGAGGCAGCAGUGGGGAAUAUUGCGCAAUGGGCGCAAGCCUGAUGCAGCAACGCCGCGUGAGGGAUGACGGCCUUCGGGUUGUAAACCUCUUUUAGUAGGGAAGAAGCGAAAGUGACGGUACCUGCAGAAAAAGCACCGGCUAACUACGUGCCAGCAGCCGCGGUAA
rnacentral:rRNA from 1 species